GAAUUUUCCGCAGCGGGCUGACGUUGCGCGCAUACUCCUCGUUCUCGGUGACCGGGAUCGCCUUGAUCGGAACGACAAACUCGAUCUUGUCGAACAGGCCAAGCUCCAUCGCCGCGAUGCGGAUCUUGCGCGCNGGCGACGCCGGUGAAUAGGCAAGUUUCAUGGAGCGUUCCUGAAUGAUGGAAUGAACAGCGGCUCCGGCGCGAACGCCGGAGCCAUGAACGUUCAGGUACUUACGCCGCGACGAUUNGACGCUGCGCGCCGAGGCCGUCGAUGCCGAGGGUGACGACGUCGCCGACGUUGAGGAACUUCUGCGGCUUCAUGCCCAUGCCGACGCCGGGCGGCGUGCCGGUGGUGAUGAUGUCGCCNUACAGCGUCAUGAUUUCAGAUACGUAGGACACGAUCUUCGCCACACCGAAGAUCAUGGUUG
rnacentral:misc_RNA from 1 species